rnacentral:rRNA from 1 species
AAUCAACGCUGGCGGCGUGCCUCAGACAUGCAAGUCGAACGCGAAAGGUUCCUUCGGGAGCCGAGUAGAGUGGCGCUCGGGUGAGUAACACGUAGGUAAUUUGCCUUUGGGUGGGGAAUAACAAUCGGAAACGGUUGCUAAUACCGCAUAAUGCAGCGGCUCGACAUCGAGACAGUUGUUAAAGCGGGGGAGUCCUUCGGGACCUCGCGCCUAAAGAGAAGCCUGCGGCGGAUUAGCAGUUGGUGGGGUAAGUGGCUCACCAAGGCGACGAUCCGUAACCGGCCUGAGAGGGCGGACGGUCACACUGACACUUAAAUACGGGUCAGACUCCUACGGGAGGCAGCAGUCGGGAA